AAGAGAAUGGAAACCCAGAAAAAAACUUUUUUUAAAUUAAAAAUUGAAAUUUUUUUAAUUUGUGCAGAAACAAUUAUUAAUAUUAAGGACAAGAAGACCCUAUGAAUUUAUAAAAUUUUAUUCAAUAUGUUAUUGCUGUUGUAGAAUUUUUGGCUGGGGCGGCUAAAAAAUAUUUUAAACUUUUUAAAAGUAAAAUGAUCCAUUAUUAAUGAUUAUAUGUGAAAUACUCUAGGGAUAACAGCGUUAUAUUUUUUGAUAGAUCAUAUUGACAAAAAAGUUUGCGACCUCGAUGUUGGAUUAGGAUACUUUUUUAAUGCAGAUAUUAAAAAAAGAAGUUUGUUCAACUUUUAAUUUCCUACU
rnacentral:rRNA from 1 species